rnacentral:rRNA from 1 species
GACGAACGCUGGCGGCGUGCUUAACACAUGCAAGUCGAACGAGACGAAUUAGAAGCUUGCUUUUAUUGAGUCGAGUGGCAAACGGGUGAGUAACGCGUAGACAACCUGCCGCAAAGAUGGGGACAACAGUCCGAAAGGACUGCUAAUACCGAAUGUUGUAUCUCCACCGCAUGGAAGAGAUAUUAAAGAUGGCCUCUACUUGUAAGCUAUCGCUUUGCGAUGGGUCUGCGUCUGAUUAGCUUGUUGGCGGGUAACGGCCCACCAAGGCUACGAUCAGUAGGGGUUCUGAGAGGAAGGUCCCCCACAUUGGAACUGAG